rnacentral:rRNA from 1 species
UAAGGAAUAUUGGUCAAUGGGCGGAAGCCUGAACCAGCCAUGCCGCGUGCAGGAAGACGGCCCUACGGGUUGUAAACUGCUUUUGCAGGGGAAUAAACCCCCGUACGUGUACGGGGCUGAAUGUACUCUGAGAAUAAGGAUCGGCUAACUCCGUGCCAGCAGCCGCGGUAAUACGGAGGAUCCAAGCGUUAUCCGGAUUUAUUGGGUUUAAAGGGUGCGUAGGUGGCCUGUUAAGUCAGGGGUGAAAGACGGUAGCUUAACUAUCGCAGUGCCCUUGAUACUGAUGGGCUUGAAUGAACUAGAGGUAGGCGGAAUGUGACAAGUAGCGGUGAAAUGCAUAGAUAUGUCACAGAACACCAAUUGCGAAGGCAGCUUACUAUGGUUUUAUUGACACUGAGGCACGAAAGCGUGGGGAUCAAACAGGAUUAGAUACCCCCGUAGUCC